AACUUUCGGCAACGGAUCACUUGGCUCUCACAUCAAUGAAGAAGGCAGCGAAAUGUGAUACAUAAUGUGAAUUGCAGAAUUCAGUGAAUCAUCGAAUCUUUGAAUGCAUAUUGUGCUCUUUGGUAUUCCAAAGAGCAUGCUUGUUUGAGUAUCAGUAAACACCUCAACCUCCUCUUGUUUUUUCAAAAGGAGGGUGGACUUGAGCUAUCCCAACAACCUUCACUGGUAGGUGGGCAGCUUGAAAUGCAGGUGCAGCUGGACUUUUAUCUGAGCUAAAAGCAUAUCUAUUUAGUCCUCAUCAAACAGGAUUAAUACUAUUGCUGCAGCUAACAUAAAGGAUAAUUGUCCUCAUUGCUGACUGAUGCCGGAUUUUAUGACACUUUAUGUGUUGUUCAACUCGAUCUCAAAUCAAGUAAGACUACCUGCUGAACUUAAGCAUAUCAAUAAGCGGAGGCU
rnacentral:misc_RNA from 1 species